AGAACACACAUUAAUUAUCCCUGGGGUCAUGGGAUAAAAAAAAAAACCCUGCAAAAACAAGUUAGCACACCCUAGAAUGGUUCUAGCAUGAUUACUAACCUAUGACUCUAAGACUAGUUGAAGGGAAAAACCU
rnacentral:pre_miRNA from 1 species